ensembl:lncRNA
AUGAAAUAUGCGGAAUAUUAUACAAAACAGGGUGUUGUGACAAUAAACGCCGAAGUUAAUGUUUGUUUUGAACCACUAAUUAAUGAUUUAUUAAUUUCAAAGUCAUUGUUAAAUAACUUAAAGGCUUCUGUUAUAAUAAAUAAAAAAACUAUCAUUCAAGAUUUUUGUUUAUAUAAAAUUAAAUUAAACUUAAUAUAUAAUAAAAAUAUUGAUAAUAAAGACAAUGUAAGAUACUCAAAAAAAAGCAUAAACGAGAACUCUCUUUCGAUUUCCUCUUCUGUUAAUCCAUCCUCUUUUUACUCAACUGUAAAUAAACAGGUAAGUACUAAAAAAGAUAUUUUAUUUGUAAAAGGAUAUAAUUUAAAUUCCAAUAUAAAUAAUAAUAUAAUAGAAAAAAAUAAUACAUAUGAAUCAUUUUUUUUUAAAAAUGGUAACAAUGUAACUGUAUGUAAGGGCAACGCAGAUAUGUACAAAGACGUUACGGAUACAUGCAAAAAUAACAAUCAUGUUGAAAAAAUAAAACAAAAGUUUAACAAAUCCCAUAACGAUAAACAAGUUAUAACUGAUUACGUCGAAUAUAAAAAACUAAAUAGUAUUAAUACAUUAAAAAAAACACAGCAUAGCGAAAAAACAAAUUACUACAAAACAAAUAAUGGUGUAAUGCAUGUAAAAUUGAUAUCCCAAUUAUUAACACAAAACAAAAAAGACAAUAAUAAUAUAAAUAAUACCUUAACAGAUAUUAAAAUGUUAGUUAAAAAAAACAAAGAACUAACAUUAAAACAAAACUAUUUUGAUAUAACAUCCGUUUUAAAAUGUCAGAAUAUUGUUUCUAAUAAUUUAAAAAACAUAUUUGAAAAUGAUGAGUCUUUUUAUUGUACAUAUAUUUUUUUACCUUCCUUUUUAACCAUAGUAGAAGGAAAAAUACAAUCAAUUAUUUUUACAUUAAAAAAAAAAAAAUUAAGCAUUCUUUUAUUGAUACAUGUUAUAGUCAAUAAAAAAAAUACAAAAUUUUUUGAUUUGAAUAUUAAUAAAGAACUUAAUUCUAUGUUAAACAUAAAACAAAAUAAUUAUAACAUACAAUGUAAUUCAUGUAAUGCUGAUAUGUUAAUACUAUCACCUAGUAAUUUUAUAAUGCCACAUUUAUAUUUAAAUAUACCUACUUUUUUUGAACAUGCAUUUUGUGAAGAAUGUAGUUCUUUUUCUUUCAAUGAUAUAAAAUAUAAUGAAAAUAAUAUUUAUUUGUUUUCAAGUUGUUUAUAUUUUAGCUUUAACUUAAUAAAAAUAUCCAAAUUAGUACUUAAAAAAGAUUCUAUUGAACAUGUCCGAUGCUUAUUAUUUUGUGAACAUUGUUAUAAUGUAGUAGGAUAUAUAGAGAAGGAUGCACAUAACAGUGAAAGUAAUGUUCGUUUUGGUAAUAACAAUAAUAUAACACUUUCUUAUGAUGACUAUAAAAAAAUGAACGAAGAUAAAAAAAAUUAUUUAUUUUGCUUUAAACAUGAGAUAAAUAAAAAUGAUUAUAUACAGUUUGAUCGUUUUUCAUUAUUGAAUUUGGAUAAGCCUGUUAAAGAAAAAAAUGAACAGAAUGAUAAAAAAAAUAAUGCUAAUAAUUUAAUUUGUACAUAUAAUGUGCAAUCUGGUAUAAAUCAUAAGGAUGACAUAACAACAAUAAACGAGCAAGGAUCAUGUUUUAACAUAUUAAAUACUAAACAAAAUUGUAAAUCUUUUAAUAAAAAUGAA